GGGGAAUAUUGGACAAUGGGCGCAAGCCUGAUCCAGCCAUGCCGCGUGGGUGAAGAAGGCCUUCGGGUUGUAAAGCCCUUUUGUUGGGAAAGAAAAGCAGCCGGCCAAUACCCGGUUGUUCUGACGGUACCCAAAGAAUAAGCACCGGCUAACUUCGUGCCAGCAGCCGCGGUAAUACGAAGGGUGCAAGCGUUACUCGGAAUUACUGGGCGUAAAGCGUGCGUAGGUGGUGGUUUAAGUCCGUUGUGAAAGCCCUGGGCUCAACCUGGGAAGCGGAAGGGGAUAGGGGAUCACUGGAGGGGGGCAGAGGGGGGGGAAAUUCCGGGGGGAGGAGGAAAAGGCGUAGAGAGCGGGAGAAACAUAAGUGGAGAAGGGGACUGCCUGGGCAAACACUGACACUGAGGCACGAAGGCGUGGGGAGAAAACA
rnacentral:rRNA from 1 species